GCUAAUCUUGUAUUGUUGUAUUUGUUCAUGCACAUUCGAGAACUCGGCAUGGAGUGAAACAUUAGUUUAGAUGCUAUGAUAGCUGUAAUCGGCCCAAUUUGCCCGACCCAUUUUAAAAAAAAACAAUAAUAAAACCAAAAAAUAAAGUCCAAAUUUUUAACAGUCCAAACUUACAGCCCAAAAUACAAAAAUAUACCAAGCCCAAAUCCAAUCAGCCCAAUACCCAUAAUAACUAAACCCUGGUGGCCCAACAACCUAUAAACUAAACUUCACAGGAACCCUAAAUCCAAACAGCCUUGCGCCGCUGUUCCCAUGCGCCACCCUCGCCAUGUACGGCCUCCAGCGCCGCUCGCCUCCGUACACGCCACAUUGCUUCCGUACCUGUGAAAAUGACAAAGAGGACAACAACACAAAAUAGCAAAAAGAAUGUAUUUUUUCUUUUCUUUUUAUUUCGGCUAUAUAAAGCCAUACAAUCACAUUGUAAUGUUUUUUUAUGAAGGCAUACAGAAGCAAUCAAUAGAAAACGAAAGUCUAAGAUCAAAAAAGGUGAUUAUUUUACUUGUUAUUUCUUUUUUUAUUCCAAAAAAAAAAUAAAACAACAAAGGGAAAAGAGGUCUUUACCUGCGCCACGCUGGAGAGAGAGAGAGAAACGAAUCGUUUCUCCUUUCUUUUCAUCGAGUUUGGCCCAACUUACGGGGUUCCGGUAUCGAACCCACCCUCUAUAGGUGACCGGCUUUAAAAAGGGCUGAAAAAGCCCGGUUUUGCAUGCCUCCAACCACCGUCUACGGUGAAGGCUCGCCGGGAUCCUAGGCCUGAGAAUGAGGCGAGAGGGAGAGUCAGAGAGAACUCUCAGUUUUUUUU
rnacentral:lncRNA from 1 species